ACUCAGUGAUGCAGAGCAGUGCACGGUCUAGUACAGCUCCUAGGUCAGGACAUGACUCAGUGAUGCAGAGCAGUGCACGGUCUAGUACAGCUCCUAGGUCAGUACAUGACUCAGUGGUGCAGAGCAGUGCACAGUCUAGUACAGCUCCUAGGUCAGCAUAUGACUCAGUGAUGCAGAGCAGUGCACGGUCUACUACAGCUCUUAGGUCAGGACAUGACUCAGUGAUGCAGAGCAGUGCACGGUCUAGUACAGCUCCUAGGUCAGUACAUGACUCAGUGGUGCAGAGCAGUGCACGGUCUAGUACAGCUCCUAGGUCAGCAUAUGACUCAGUGAUGCACGGUCUACUACAGCUCUUAGCUCAGUACAUGACUCAGUGAUGCAGAGCAGUGCACGGUCUAGUACAGCUCCUAGGUCAGUACAUGACUCAGUGAUGCAGAGCAGUGCACGGUCUAGUACAGCUCCUAGGGUCAGUACAUGACUCAGUGGUGCAGAGCAGUGCACGGUCUAGUACAGCUCCUAGGUCAGCAUAUGACUCAGUGAUGCACGGUCUACUACAGCUCUUAGGUCAGGACAUGACUCAGUGAUGCAGAGCAGUGCACGGUCUAGUACAGCUCCUAGGUCAGUACAUGACUCAGUGAUGCACGGUCUAGUACAGCUCCUAGGUCAGUACAUGACUCAGUGGUGCAGAGCAGUGCACGGUCUAGUACAGCUCCUAGGUCAGCAUAUGACUCAGUGAUGCACGGUCUACUACAGCUCUUAGCUCAGUACAUGACUCAGUGAUGCAGAGCAGUGCACGGUCUAGUACAGCUCCUAGGUCAGUACAUGACUCAGUGAUGCAGAGCAGUGCACGGUCUAGUACAGCUCCUAGGGUCAGUACAUGACUCAGUGGUGCAGAGCAGUGCACGGUCUAGUACAGCUCCUAGGUCAGCAUAUGACUCAGUGAUGCACGGUCUACUACAGCUCUUAGGUCAGGACAUGACUCAGUGAUGCAGAGCAGUGCACGGUCUAGUACAGCUCCUAGGUCAGUACAUGACUCAGUGAUGCAGAGCAGUGCACGGUCUAGUACAGCUCCUAGGUCAGUACAUGACUCAGUGAUGCACGGUCUAGUACAGCUCCUAGGUCAGUACAUGACUCAGUGAUGCAGAGCAGUGCACGGUCUAGUACAGCUCCUAGGUCAGUACAUGACUCAGUGAUGCACGGUCUAGUACAGCUCCUAGGUCAGUACAUGACUCAGUGAUGCAGAGCAGUGCACGGUCUAGUACAGCUCCUAGGGUCAGUACAUGACUCAGUGAUGCACGGUCUAGUACAGCUCCUAGGUCAGUACAUGACUCAGUGGUGCAGAGCAGUGCACGGUCUAGUACAGCUCCUAGGUCAGCAUAUGACUCAGUGAUGCAUGGUCUACUACAGCUCUUAGGUCAGUACAUGACUCAGUGAUGCAGAGCAGUGCACGGUCUAGUACAGCUCCUAGGUCAGUACAUGACUCAGUGAUGCAGAGCAGU